rnacentral:rRNA from 1 species
GGGGUCAAGGAGGGGAGCGGGACAAAGACGAGUUUGGGCUCGAGUAGGCCUGCGGUAGUAUCGAGACGGCAGCAGCUAGGGCGCCGGUGACCGGUGGAGCUCGAUGCGGUGCCGAAGAUCCGCCAGGCGGCAGCAGCAGAGGAAGGAGAUGCGGGGAGCCGAGCAGAGGUCCGGCGGCGGUCGCGAACGGUAGCCCGAGGAGGGGUGCGUGUCGGCGUGCUGGAACGGCAACUAGGUAGCGAGGCUAGGUGGGGCCGGAGCAGCUCGAGCGGACGCUGGAGACGAUGGGGCUCUGCCGACGGCUACGGUGAUACAAGCUGAUGUAGUGGCUGCUGGGAGGAACAGACUCGUUGAUCUACAGCCUCGGGUCCUCGGUCUACGGUGGCGGCUACGGAUGAUGAUGCACCUCUGGCUGCUGUUGGUCCUCAUCAAUCCUCCGAGGGUCCGUCCUCCGGAACGGAAAAGCUAGCUACAACGAAAACACGAUCGGAAGAAUUCCGUUUGAACAGAUUGAAUACAGACAUGAGUCUAUAACAACGAAGGCGACUGAGAACACAUAAGCUCGAAUACAUAAGCUC